UUUCCUUCUCUCUUUUCUGUGUGUAUGUGUGUUUUGAUUGUGGUUGCCGGAUUCUGGCUCUAUUUCCGGUGAAACAGAAGCUGAAUCGGACGUGAGAAAUUGCGAGGGAGAUGGGAUCUUUUCUGAAAAUCAGCGCCCAGCUUAGGUCGUCGUGAAGAAGACAAAGACGAGAGGUCUGGGUAUGUCCGUUCUCUAUAGUGGUCAUCGGAGUUAUGGUGCGGAAGACGAGUUGAAUCUCUCCUAGAGUUCUUUUGUUUUC
rnacentral:lncRNA from 1 species